rnacentral:tRNA from 1 species
GGGUAAGUACUCAAGUCGGUCGAAGAGGCGGUCCUGCUAAGACUGUAGGGGUGAUAAAACACCCGCGGAGGUUCGAAUCCUCUCUUACCCGCCU